rnacentral:lncRNA from 1 species
GAAGCUGGGAGCAGAAGCCUGGGCUCUCGGCACCAGCCUCUUCUCCAGACCUCACUGCUGCCCUGGGUAUCAGCUAUGGAGGCACUUACUGCGACCGAGCUCUUCAGGGUGACCCUCUUCAGAAGCAAUAUUUUGGAUCAAACAUUCGAAAGUUAAGGAGCUCGAUUUUAGGCACGUCACGUUGGACGUUCCCAGGAGAAUCCAACUAGAGAUGUCAAACAGCUAUGUGUCUGGAGUUCAAGGAUGGACAAGUCUGCAUUUGGAUGGUAUGUGAAGCUGUG